rnacentral:rRNA from 1 species
CAGUCGCCGCGGGAAUACGUAGGUGGCAAGCGUUGUCCGGAAUUAUUGGGCGUGAAGGGCUCGCGGCGGUUUCUUAAGUCUGAUGUGAAAGCCCCCGGCUCAACCGGGGAGGGUCAUUGGAAACUGGGAAACUUGAGUGCAGAAGAGGAGAGUGGAAUUCCACGUGUAGCGGUGAAAUGCGUAGAGAUGUGGAGGAACACCAGUGGCGAAGGCGACUCUCUGGUCUGUAACUGACGCUGAGGAGCGAAAGCGUGGGGAGCGAACAGGAUUAGAUACCCCCGUAGUCCCUGUCUCUUAUACA